AUUAAUAUAGCAGAACAUUGCAUUAGAUUUAGAAACUAAAUAAAUUACAUAUAGCUAAAAUUAUUAAUA
rnacentral:tRNA from 1 species